GGGGGCGUAGCUCAGCUGGGAGAGCGCCACACUGGCAGUGUGGAGGUCAAGAGUUCGAUCCUCUCCGUCUCCACCA
rnacentral:tRNA from 4 species